CCUCAGACAUUGAUAUACUUUGUUCUAGAUGUCCAUAUAUAUUUAUGUGGUUAUAUUUCAUUCAUUACUCAUUGACAUUUAUUAAGACAUGGUGACUAGUAUGUGUGUUUUGGAGUGCUAUUCUUUUUUCUUUAUAUUCAAACUUUUCUUGACAACUCUUACUUGUGGCAUUAUAUUUCUUGUCUACUUUGUUGUUCUUCUCUUGCAAGUACUGUAAAGAAAUGUUUUAAUAUGUGCAUCUGAAAUGACUGACACCGCUGUUUUGCACUUUUUAAGGCUUCAUAUUUUUAAGGGAAGAUAACUCUAUCAAGUAGUUUCAAACUGAAAAUGUUGAAUUCCGGUAAUUGUAUAGCCGUCAGUGUACUUUCUUGAACAAUCAGUGUGCAGAGAUUGGGUGUUACUGAGUGAGUUUGUGAGUGAAUCCUAACAGCCCUUUUAUACAUCAAUCAAGGUUGGCACUUGAUCUGUGUUUACAUCAUAACAUGUACAUACUCAACAACAAAAGUUAAGGACCACCCCAAUUUUCAAUAUUAAAGUAUUUAAUAGUUCAUAUUAUGAUCCAUAUUUCCAUAACCUUUUUUGUUGAGUACCUAUAGAAAUUCCCUGGAUCUGCCAAUGUAUUACACAAUACUGUAUGUGGCAUAAUUUUUCUUUCAUUUUAGGGUUUGAACACAUUUUAAAGUCACCUGUACCUUAACCAGGUCAAUGUGAAGACUGUAGAAGAGCCCAAGCAUACUGAGUAUGCAAGUGAUUAGGGUUUGCCAAAGUGUUACCGGUACCUCAUUUACUUUCAUGACAAUUCAUAUACAUGUAUAUAUGUGUAUUUAUUUAUUUAUGUUAUUUUUUGCAGUGAGUUGAUAUGUUCUUUUGCAUGCAUUGAUUUAGAAACAUGGAUAUGAUGCGAGAAACACUUUGGUAGUAAGAUGAUUUAUCAAUGACCUGUUUAGGGGCAUUGUCACUUUUAGUUUCAUGUUCAGCGAAUUAAUUAUCAUAUCAUAUAAUUUAUAAUUUGUGAUCAGUGCUAGUCAGCACCAAACUUAUCAAUCAUAAAGCACAAUAAAAACAGAUGAAUUUCAUAAUUUUAUUCAGUUUAUUUUGACAAGAUUGACGCCAGUAUUUUGGUGACAUAUUUGACCUGUACAGCACACUUGCAAUCAAUAAGCUGGAAAAUAUACAUGUGACAUAC